rnacentral:rRNA from 1 species
AGUGAACGCUGGCGGCAGGCCUAAUACAUGCAAGUCGAACGGCAGCACAGCAGAGCUUGCUCUGUGGGUGGCGAGUGGCGGACGGGUGAGGAAUACAUGGGAAUCUGCCCAGUCGUGGGGGAUAACGUAUGGAAACGUACGCUAAUACCGCAUGCGCCCUAAGGGGGAAAGCCGGGGACCGCAAGGCCUGGCGCGAUUGGAUGAGCCCAUGUUCGAUUAGCUAGUUGGCGGGGUAAAGGCCCACCAAGGCGACGAUCGAUAGCUGGUCUGAGAGGAUGAUCAGCCACACUGGAACUGAGACACGGUCCAGACUCCUACGGGAGGCAGCAGUGGGGAAUUUUGGACAAUGGGCGCAAGCCUGAUCCAGCCAUGCCGCGUGAGUGAAG